rnacentral:tRNA from 1 species
GGAGUGGAUGGGGUCCGGUGGCCCCUGCGGACUUCAAAUCCGUUGUGUCUCGCUCAAACCGGGACGGGAGGGUUCGACUCCCUCUCACUCCC